GACGAACGCUGGCGGCGUGCUUAACACAUGCAAGUCGAACGGUAAGGCUCCAGCUUGCUGGGGUACACGAGUGGCGAACGGGUGAGUAACACGUGGGUGACCUGCCCUGCACUUCGGGAUAAGCCUGGGAAACUGGGUCUAAUACCGGAUAGGACCGCACCGUGAGGGUGUGGUGGAAAGUUUUUUCGGUGUGGGAUGGGCCCGCGGCCUAUCAGCUUGUUGGUGGGGUAAUGGCCUACCAAGGCGGCGACGGGUAGCCGGCCUGAGAGGGUGGACGGCCACAUUGGGACUGAGACACGGCCCAGACUCCUACGGGAGGCAGCAGUGGGGAAUAUUGCACAAUGGGCGGAAGCCUGAUGCAGCGACGCCGCGUGGGGGAUGACGGCCUUCGGGUUGUAAACUCCUUUCACCAUCGACGAAGGGUUUCUGACGGUAGAUGGAGAAGAAGCACUGGCUAACUACGUGCCAGCAGCCGCGGUAAUACGUAGGGUGCGAGCGUUGUCCGGAAUUACUGGGCGUAAAGAGCUCGUAGGUGGUUUGUCGCGUCGUCUGUGAAAUUCCGGGGCUUAACUCCGGGCGUGCAGGCGAUACGGGCAUAACUUGAGUACUGUAGGGGAGACUGGAAUUCCUGGUGUAGCGGUGAAAUGCGCAGAUAUCAGGAGGAACACCGGUGGCGAAGGCGGGUCUCUGGGCAGUAACUGACGCUGAGGAGCGAAAGCAUGGGGAGCGAACAGGAUUAGAUACCCUGGUAGUCCAUGCCGUAAACGGUGGGCGCUAGGUGUGGGUUUCCUUCCACGGGAUCCGUGCCGUAGCUAACGCAUUAAGCGCCCCGCCUGGGGAGUACGGCCGCAAGGCUAAAACUCAAAGGAAUUGACGGGGGCCCGCACAAGCGGCGGAGCAUGUGGAUUAAUUCGAUGCAACGCGAAGAACCUUACCUGGGCUUGACAUAUACAGGAUCGCGCCAGAGAUGGUGUUUCCCUUGUGGCUUGUAUACAGGUGGUGCAUGGUUGUCGUCAGCUCGUGUCGUGAGAUGUUGGGUUAAGUCCCGCAACGAGCGCAACCCUUGUCUUAUGUUGCCAGCACGUUGUGGUGGGGACUCGUAAGAAACUGCCGGGGUUAACUCGGAGGAAGGUGGGGAUGACGUCAAAUCAUCAUGCCCCUUAUGUCCAGGGCUUCACACAUGCUACAAUGGUCGGUACAGUGGGUUGCCAGUCCGUGAGGGCGAGCUAAUCCCGCAAAGCCGGUCUCAGUUCGGAUCGGGGUCUGCAACUCGACCCCGUGAAGUCGGAGUCGCUAGUAAUCGCAGAUCAGCAACGCUGCGGUGAAUACGUUCCCGGGCCU
rnacentral:rRNA from 1 species